rnacentral:tRNA from 1 species
GGGGUUGUGGCUCAGUGAUAGAGCACUUGCCUAGCACAUAUGAGGUCCUGGGUUCAAUCCUCAGCACCACA